ensembl:snRNA U6 U6 spliceosomal RNA
CUGCUUGCUGUGACAGCACAAAUAGUAAAAUUGGAAAAGAUUGGAGGUUAACAUGUCUCCUGUGCAGGAAUGACGUGCAGAUUCAUGAUGUAGUCCACUUUUUU